rnacentral:rRNA from 1 species
GACGAACGCUGGCGGCGUGCUUAACACAUGCAAGUCGAGCGGUAAGGCCCUUUCGGGGGUACACGAGCGGCGAACGGGUGAGUAACACGUGGGUGACCUGCCCUUAGCUCUGGGAUAAGCCUGGGAAACUGGGUCUAAUACCGGAUAUGACUCCAUGACGCAUGUUGUGGGGUGGAAAGCCUUGUGCGGCUAGGGAUGGGCCCGCGGCCUAUCAGCUUGUUGGUGGGGUGAUGGCCUACCAAGGCGACGACGGGUAGCCGGCCUGAGAGGGCGACCGGCCACACUGGGACUGAGACACGGCCCAGACUCCUACGGGAGGC